CUAAAGGUGUAAUGCUGCCCUAAGCUUUCUAUAAUUUCCUGUAGCAAAUUCUCCAGAGAGGUGGCUGUGUACCUGUGCCUGACACAAGGCACAUGCAUUGCAGGUGAGCCAUAGCACAUAGUGUAAAACUGGAAAUCUGGGAGAUAUAUGUAUCUGAAGCUAGGUUUGCCUGGGUGAAGCCUUCACAGCCCUUCAGGAGUUUUGGAGUACCUGGGCCUAGCAUGAGGCUGAAGGUGCCCUACAGAAAAACAGAAGUCUGGCAUUGCUUCCUGUAAGAGCUGAAAGCCUGGAGCUGGAGCCAAAGGUCUGGCACAAAAUAUCAUUAUGGAACCUCUGAUUCCAUUACAGCCGUGGAGAGCAGAACGAAGUCAAGAAGCCUGUGAAGAAGGUGGUUCCCGCAGGCAGCGAGCUGUGCACUGACCGCAGGCUUCUGCAGUGACUACGUCUGGAGGAGUUUCUCCACUUGCUGGAAAGAAAACAUAAGGAGAAUUUUAGUGGGCAAAAUAAAGGCAUCUCUUCUCAUGUGAAUGCUCACCCAUGAGCACAACAGAGCAACACAUGUGAUCUGCAGUUCAAGGUUCUUCCUUAAGGAAUAAUUCUAAGAAGAUAUUAAUAAAAUUGGAAGAAAUUACCAAGAUAUCAUAAGGAGACCAAAAUGUAUUCACACCUGCAGUACAGUCAGGACAGCAAAGUGAGCUGAGGGCUGGCAUUCUGCCUUCAGAAAGCAGACAGCUGUGGCUGGUAAUCCCCUGAACUGCCACAGUAGGGUUUGAUAAAGCUUAUAAAGCCUCUCUGGCAGAGCCCCUCAUGCUCUACCACCUUAAAAGGGCUUGGAAACAAGAUACUCACACCGAAAGGCACUCAGUAUGUUCUUACUUAUAGUAAACAACUUCUCAGGACUCUGGAAGUGACAUAAAGCCUUCAAAGACUCAACAAACCUGGAAAUAAACUAGCAGGAUUAGAAAAACAAAACAGCAGUUUCCAAUUUGGAGGUGAAUGUGCAAAUGAAUUGUAAGGAUUGUUUUCUCUUCUGACUGGUUUUCAACAGUGUUUUUAAAAUGAGCAGAAUGUUCAGCUGAAGCUCAGAAAGAGGGGAACACUUGUAAAGCAAAGGAAAGCAUGGUAACCCAUGGUAAAUACAUAGUAUGGCGGCAGAAUGGAAACAGCUCUGCUGGGAGAUCUGCUUAUUGCUCAGCUAAUUACUCUGUUCAUGAGAAAGCAGAGUGAUAUGCUCGGCGGAAGAUGAAAAAAAGAAGAAAAAGUAAAACUUCAAAAACCUGGGAACCACACCCAUCACCUGAAGCUUAGACCACACACCUGAAAGGGAGGAACCUACAUCCAGUCCCAGCACAGAGUAUGAACAUCCUUAUCUUCCUUUCAACUCCACCAUUUUGCAGUUAUUUUAUGUACUUACAGAGAGUGUUGGUAAGGGAGGAAUUGCUUUUUCAUUUCUUGCUUCUUCAAUAGUUAAAAUAACUUGUGAUAUCAGAAACUUUGAUGAGCUGCAGUGCUGCUCCUGCAUUACUGUCCCAAGUUCAGUCCAGUCCCAGCCCCAAAUGUGUCUCCUUUCUCUGUGAAGAUCCCACACAGUCAUCUGAACAGCCCUCCCUGCUGUACUGUGGGUGAAGGAGGAGGAAAUGCAUGUGCAGUGGAUGGAGGAGUUUAUUUGUGAUCUGCUGUAUUGUACCAAGAGUCACAUAUAUGUUACAUGCCUUCUCUCCAAGUUAAUCCACAAAUCAAUAACUGAUUGUAUAUAGCACUCCGCUGUCAUCUACACAAGUUAAGAUAUGCCCUGAAACACCUGAUUCUAAGGAGUUACUUGAAAGACAGGAAAAUCCUCAUGAGCCAUAGAAUUGUUCUAAGUAUUAAACCAAUUCAAAGAAAAAAAAAAAGGAAACAAAAGGCCCAAAGCCUUGUGUUGUGGACUCCGUGAUUUUAAACUGCUCCCACUUCUGGCAGACUGAAGGGAAAGAGAAGGCAGCACUGCGGCAAAGCUCAGAGAGAGGGGCUGUCCCACCUGCCUGCAUGGCAUGAGAGCAUCAGUGCUGAUGCACAGCCUCUACUUCUCAGAGCUGAACCUUCUGCAGUUUUGAUCUUGAAUCAGUACAUUUCUCCUUGCAAUUUGUGAAAUCCUUCCGCUGGACAUACAAUAGAACAAGUAUUAUUGCUCCUUGGAGUUUUACCACAUGUUCUACCAUCACCUCUCUAUCUAAAAACGAACCUUAAUCCUGUUCUCUUCUUAAGACAGAUUCACCUCACUGAUGGUAAGGAAUGGACAUGUAUAAUUCUGUGGUCUAACAGAUUUAUGCAACAUAAGCAUGAAGAAAUGAAAAUGAUACAUAAAUACAAAGAAGGGCCAAAAAUUUCUAUGCCUAAAGACAACUUCUCUAUAUUUCCAUACUUAUAAAUCUAUUUUUAGGAAACAACAGCCUGAUUUCACCUUAAAUCAGAGCUCCAAAAAAUCUUUUGGAAAGGAACUCACCAUAAGAAAUUAAGAGUGAA
ensembl:lncRNA